GCCUUCGUAGUGUAGUGGUCAGCACUCUGAGCUGAUACUUCAGAGGUCCGUGGUUCGAUUCCUGGCGAAGGCG